rnacentral:rRNA from 1 species
GGUACGGAAUAGCCCAGGGAAACUUGGAGUAAUACCGUAUACGCCCGAAAGGGGAAAGAUUUAUCGCUAUAGGAUGGGCCCGCGUAGGAUUAGCUAGUUGGUGAGGUAAUGGCUCACCAAGGCGACGAUCCUUAGCUGGUUUGAGAGAACGACCAGCCACACUGGGACUGAGACACGGCCCAGACUCCUACGGGAGGCAGCAGUGGGGAAUAUUGGACAAUGGGCGCAAGCCUGAUCCAGCCAUGCCGCGUGAGUGAUGAAGGCCUUAGGGUUGUAAAGCUCUUUUGCCGGGGACGAUAAU